CAUUAUCGAAAUCUAUUAGGGGAGAAAGGAAAGGCUUGGAUGUCUUGAUCUUGAUGGGACUGUCGCUGGCAGAUUGGAGGGAACUCGUUCUGCAUGUGCACGUCUUGGCUUUUCAUUCACCUUUACUUUCUUUCUCUUUCUCUCACACACCUGUGCACCUUUUGUAGGUCCUUGAAAGAGGAUCUAUGUUUUUCAUACACACACACACAUAUGAGAUGGUAUGUACUACAUACUAUGUACUGUGGUACCAUACAUCCAUGUUUUCAAGGCCAUAGAGUGUAAUAAAUGAAUACAACUUUCAGCAACGGAUCUCUUGGCUCUCGCAUCGAUGAAGAACGCAGCGAAUUGCGAUAAGUAAUGUGAAUUGCAGAUUUCCAGUGAAUCAUCGAAUCUUUGAACGCACCUUGCGCUCCUUGGUAUUCCGAGGAGCAUGCCUGUUUGAGUGUCAUUGAAUUAUCAACCAUGCCUUGAUUGACUUUCAGGGCAUGGCUUGGAGUUUGGGGGCUUUGCUGGUGGUGAAAAGUCAUCAGCUCUCCUGAAAUACAUUAGCAAUCGGACAAGCGAGUCUAUGGCAUGCACGGCUUCCUGACGUGAUAAUGAUCGUCAUGGCUGGAGUGUCAGAUCUUGGACAAGCAUGAACUGUGUCUUAUUUGCUUCUAAUCAUUUCGAUCUUUGAUCUUUUUGCACACUUGACCUCAAAUCAGGUAGGACUACCCGCUGAACUUAAGCAUAUCAAUAA
rnacentral:rRNA from 1 species